GGUUAAGCGACUAAGCGUACACGGUGGAUGCCCUGGCAGUCAGAGGCGAUGAAGGACGUGCUAAUCUGCGAAAAGCGUCGGUAAGGUGAUAUGAACCGUUACAGCCGGCGAUGUCCGAAUGGGGAAACCCAGUGCAAUUCGUUGCACUAUCGUUAACUGAAUACAUAGGUUAACGAGGCGAACCGGGGGAACUGAAACAUCUAAGUACCCCGAGGAAAAGAAAUCAACCGAGAUUCCCCCAGUAGCGGCGAGCGAACGGGGAGCAGCCCAGAGUCUGAAUCAGCUUGUGUGUUAGUGGAACGGUCUGGAAAGUCCGACGGUACAGGGUGAUAGUCCCGUACACCAAAAUGCACAGGCUGUGAACUCGAAGAGUAGGGCGGGACACGUGGUAUCCUGUCUGAAUAUGGGGGGA
rnacentral:rRNA from 1 species